rnacentral:lncRNA from 1 species
GGCUGCUGUGGGGGAGGGGGGGGUGAGGUUCCCAGGUGAAUAGAGUUGUGUACCUAGGAGGAUAAUGGCUGCCUCUGCUGAGUCAUGCAGGUUGUUAGGGAAGUGAGGGAAAGCUGGCAGUCACAGGCCUCACCCAGCUCCCAUGCAAUCCAAAUGGCCAGUCUCACUCUCACCAUGCCCCCUCUAAAGCAUUGAGUCUGUUUCCAAGCAGUGGGUAAGCAGGGGUGAGAACUUGCCGCAGGCUACCCACCUCCCAGCUGUGAAAGAAAAGGGCUUUCGUUCUUCCCCCACCUGUGGAGUCUACACGCUGGAUUUGUGCCCUCCCUUGAGUUCUGGCCAGGAGGCUUCUCCACCUGUUCAAAUUGUUAUAAAGUUCAGCUGGAGACUUCCUUCUCUCCGUGGCAUUUUCCUCAUGCCUCUGGCCACCCUCCCAAAGGAUCCCUGUGAGGCCAGGCAGGAAUGGCCUGCUUGGGGACCCAGCAAGCUUCUAGGGCCUUUGCUGCUGCUUCCUCUACCCCUGUAUUUCGCUCGGCUCUCUAAAUGGACUCAGCUCCAGAUGCACAAUAUUUCAUUAUGUGGAUGCACUACAGUUAACCAGACUCCUAUUGUUGGACAAAUUGGACAGGCUGCAUGGAGAUUGUAGCAUGAAUGCAGAUAUUGGAAAUUUACUGGAUGUAUGAUCAGACAAACCAAUUGAAGUGGAGAAGAGAACCAAUCAGCCAAAUCAUUACAGAAGUUGCACCACUGCCUGAAAUAUCUUGACUGAUUCUAUAUAAGUUGAAUUUUUGCCGAAUAAAUUCUGAAAAUAAUUACAAGCUUCCUUUUGAUUUGAAUGUUACACAUCAAGUUCUAGUAAGAGCUAAUUUUACAUCAUUGACAGAUAACAAAAUAGAAGGAACAAAGUGCCCUUUGAGUUAAGGGCACUCCAAUGUCCCGGAAUUUAACCUUUUUGUCAGAUCAAUAAGGUUUAGUGCAACUAGCCAGACACCUGUCC